rnacentral:rRNA from 1 species
GGAUGAACGCUAGCUACAGGCUUAACACAUGCAAGUCGAGGGGCAGCAUGGUCUUAGCUUGCUAAGGCCGAUGGCGACCGGCGCACGGGUGAGUAACACGUAUCCAACCUGCCGUCUACUCUUGGACAGCCUUCUGAAAGGAAGAUUAAUACAAGAUGGCAUCAUGAGUCCGCAUGUUCACAUGAUUAAAGGUAUUCCGGUAGACGAUGGGGAUGCGUUCCAUUAGAUAGUAGGCGGGGUAACGGCCCACCUAGUCUUCGAUGGAUAGGGGUUCUGAGAGGAAGGUCCCCCACAUUGGAACUGAGACACGGUCCAAACUCCUACGGGAGGCAGCAGUGAGGAAUAUUGGUCAAUGGGCGAGAGCCUGAACCAGCCAAGUAGCGUGAAGGAUGACUGCCCUAUGGGUUGUAAACUUCUUUUAUAAAGGAAUAAAGUCGGGUAUGCAUACCCGUUUGCAUGUACUUUAUGAAUAAGGAUCGGCUAACUCCGUGCCAGCAGCCGCGGUAAUACGGAGGAUCCGAGCGUUAUCCGGAUUUAUUGGGUUUAAAGGGAGCGUAGAUGGAUGUUUAAGUCAGUUGUGAAAGUUUGCGGCUCAACCGUAAAAUUGCAGUUGAUACUGGAUAUCUUGAGUGCAGUUGAGGCAGGCGGAAUUCGUGGUGUAGCGGUGAAAUGCUUAGAUAUCACGAAGAACUCCGAUUGCGAAGGCAGCCUGCUAAGCUGCAACUGACAUUGAGGCUCGAAAGUGUGGGUAUCAAACAGGAUUAGAUACCCUGGUAGUCCACACGGUAAACGAUGAAUACUCGCUGUUUGCGAUAUACAGCAAGCGGCCAAGCGAAAGCGUUAAGUAUUCCACCUGGGGAGUACGCCGGCAACGGUGAAACUCAAAGGAAUUGACGGGGGCCCGCACAAGCGGAGGAACAUGUGGUUUAAUUCGAUGAUACGCGAGGAACCUUACCCGGGCUUAAAUUGCAGAUGAAUUACGGUGAAAGCCGUAAGCCGCAAGGCAUCUGUGAAGGUGCUGCAUGGUUGUCGUCAGCUCGUGCCGUGAGGUGUCGGCUUAAGUGCCAUAACGAGCGCAACCCUUGUUGUCAGUUACUAACAGGUUCCGCUGAGGACUCUGACAAGACUGCCAUCGUAAGAUGUGAGGAAGGUGGGGAUGACGUCAAAUCAGCACGGCCCUUACGUCCGGGGCUACACACGUGUUACAAUGGGGGGGUACAGAGGGCCGCUACCACGCGAGUGGAUGCCAAUCCCAAAAACCUCUCUCAGUUCGGACUGGAGUCUGCAACCCGACUCCACGAAGCUGGAUUCGCUAGUAAUCGCGCAUCAGCCACGGCGCGGUGAAUACGUUCCCGGGCCUUGUACACACCGCCCGUCAAGCCAUGGGAGCCGGGGGUACCUGAAGUGCGUAACCGCGAGGAGCGCCCUAGGGUAAAACUGGUA